AGCUCCAAUAGCGUAUAUUAAAGUUGCUGCAGUUAAAAAGCUCGUAGUUGGAUUUGUGGCGCGGUCGUCCGGCGGGGCUUCCGGUUUCAUAGUAUCCCGGGGCCGUUUGUCUGGGUUCUUGGCCGCCCCAUUCUUCGGUUGCGUGUCGCUGGCAUUAGGUUGUCGGCUUCUUCGCGCCGAUCGUUUACUGUGAAAAAAUUAGAGUGUUCAAAGCAGGCUUAGGCCGUUGGAUACAUUAGCAUGGAAUAAUGAGAUAGGGCCACGGCGGUCUAUUUUGUUGGUUUCCGGAACUCGAGGUAAUGAUUAAUAGGGACGGACGGGGGCAUUUGUAUUGCGACGUUAGAGGUGAAAUUCUUAGAUCGUCGCAAGACAAACUACUGCGAAAGCAUUUGCCAAGAAU
rnacentral:rRNA from 1 species